UACGGAGGGUGCGAGCGUUGUUCGGAAUUAUUGGGCGUAAAGCGCGUGUAGGCGGUUUGUUUAGUCUGAUGUGAAAGCCCCGGGCUCAACCUGGGAAGUGCAUUGGAUACUGGCAGACUUGAGUACGGGAGAGGGUAGUGGAAUUCCUAGUGUAGGAGUGAAAUCCGUAGAUAUUAGGAGGAACACCGGUGGCGAAGGCGGCUGCCUGGACCGAUACUGACGCUGAGACGCGAAAGCGUGGGGAGCAAACAGG
rnacentral:rRNA from 1 species